GCGGCGUGCCUAAUACAUGCAAGUCGAGCGAAUCUUUGGGAGCUUGCUCCCAUUGGUUAGCGGCGGACGGGUGAGUAACACGUGGGCAACCUGCCUGUAAGACUGGGAUAACUUCGGGAAACCGGAGCUAAUACCCGGAUAANNCUUUUAUCCUCUCAUGAGGAAAAACUGAAAGACGGUUUCGGCUGUCACUUACAGAUGGGCCCGCGGCGCAUUAGCUAGUUGGUGAGGUAACGGCUCACCAAGGCGACGAUGCGUAGCCGACCUGAGAGGGUGAUCGGCCACACUGGGACUGAGACACGGCCCAGACUCCUACGGGAGGCAGCAGUAGGGAAUCUUCCACAAUGGACGAAAGUCUGAUGGAGCAACGCCGCGUGAGCGAUGAAGGCCUUCGGGUCGUAAAGCUCUGUUGUUAGGGAAGAACAAGUAUCGGAGUAACUGCCGGUACCUUGACGGUACCUAACCAGAAAGCCACGGCUAACUACGUGCCAGCAGCCGCGGUAAUACGUAGGUGGCAAGCGUUGUCCGGAAUUAUUGGGCGUAAAGCGCGCGCAGGCGGUCCUUUAAGUCUGAUGUGAAAGCCCACGGCUCAACCGUGGAGGGUCAUUGGAAACU
rnacentral:rRNA from 1 species